rnacentral:rRNA from 1 species
AGAGUUUGAUCCUGGCUCAGGAUGAACGCUAGCUACAGGCUUAACACAUGCAAGUCGAGGGGCAGCAUAAACUUAGCUUGCUAAGUUUGAUGGCGACCGGCGCACGGGUGAGUAACGCGUAUCCAACCUUCCGUACACUCAGGGAUAGCCUUUCGAAAGAAAGAUUAAUACCUGAUGGUAUGAUGAGAUUGCAUGAUAGCAUCAUUAAAGAUUUAUCGGUGUACGAUGGGGAUGCGUUCCAUUAGGUAGUAGGCGGGGUAACGGCCCACCUAGCCAACGAUGGAUAGGGGUUCUGAGAGGAAGGUCCCCCACAUUGGAACUGAGACACGGUCCAAACUCCUACGGGAGGCAGCAGUGAGGAAUAUUGGUCAAUGGACGAGAGUCUGAACCAGCCAAGUAGCGUGAAGGAUGAAGGUCCUACGGAUUGUAAACUUCUUUUAUAAGGGAAUAAACCCUCCCACGUGUGGGAGCUUGUAUGUACCUUAUGAAUAAGCAUCGGCUAACUCCGUGCCAGCAGCCGCGGUAAUACGGAGGAUGCGAGCGUUAUCCGGAUUUAUUGGGUUUAAAGGGAGCGCAGACGGGUCGUUAAGUCAGCUGUGAAAGUUUGGGGCUCAACCUUAAAAUUGCAGUUGAUACUGGCGUCCUUGAGUGCGGUUGAGGUGUGCGGAAUUCGUGGUGUAGCGGUGAAAUGCUUAGAUAUCACGAAGAACUCCGAUUGCGAAGGCAGCACACUAAGCCGUAACUGACGUUCAUGCUCGAAAGUGUGGGUAUCAAACAGGAUUAGAUACCCUGGUAGUCCACACGGUAAACGAUGGAUACUCGCUGUUGGCGAUAUACUGUCAGCGGCUUAGCGAAAGCGUUAAGUAUCCCACCUGGGGAGUACGCCGGCAACGGUGAAACUCAAAGGACAU